GUAGGUGGCAAGCGUUGUCCGGAAUUAUUGGGCGUAAAGCGCGCGCAGGGCGGUCCUUUAAGUCUGAUGUGAAAGCCCACGGCUCAACCGUGGAGGGUCAUUGGAAACUGGGGGACUUGAGUACAGAAGAGGAAAGCGGAAUUCCAAGUGUAGCGGUGGAAUGCGUAGAGAUUUGGAGGAACACCAGUGGCGAAGGCGGCUUUCUGGUCUGUAACUGACGCUGAGGCGCGAAAGCGUGGGGAGCAAACAGGAUUAGAUACCCUGGUAGUCCACGCCGUAAACGAUGAGUGCUAAGUGUUAGGGGGUUUCCGCCCCUUAGUGCUGCAGCUAACGCAUUAAGCACUCCGCCUGGGGAGUACGGCCGCAAAGGCUG
rnacentral:rRNA from 1 species